rnacentral:rRNA from 1 species
AGAGUUUGAUCCUGGCUCAGGAUGAACGCUGGCGGCGUGCUUAACACAUGCAAGUCGAACGGUGAAGCCCAGCUUGCUGGGUGGAUCAGUGGCGAACGGGUGAGUAACACGUGAGCAAUCUGCCCCUGAYUYUGGGAUAAGCGCUGGAAACGGCGUYUAAUACUGGAUACGAACCGUGGAGGCAUCUUCAACGGUUGGAAAGAUUUUUUGGUCAGGGAUGAGCUCGCGGCCUAUCAGCUUGUUGGUGAGGUAAUGGCUCACCAAGGCGUCGACGGGUAGCCGGCCUGAGAGGGUGACCGGCCACACUGGGACUGAGACACGGCCCAGACUCCUACGGGAGGCAGCAGUGGGGAAUAUUGCACAAUGGGCGAAAGCCUGAUGCAGCAACGCCGCGUGAGGGAUGACGGCCUUCGAGUUGUAAACCUCUUUUAGCAGGGAAGAAGCGAAAGUGACGGUACCUGCAGAAAAAGCGCCGGCUAACUACGUGCCAGCAGCCGCGGUAAUAC